GACGAACGCUGGCGGCGUGCUUAACACAUGCCAGUCGAACGGAAAGGCCCUGCUUUUGUGGGGUGCUCGAGUGGCGAACGGGUGAGUAACACGUGAGUAACCUGCCCUUGACUUUGGGAUAACUUCAGGAAACUGGGGCUAAUACCGGAUAGGAGCUCCUGCUGCAUGGUGGGGGUUGGAAAGUUUCGGCGGUUGGGGAUGGACUCGCGGCUUAUCAGCUUGUUGGUGGGGUAGUGGCUUACCAAGGCUUUGACGGGUAGCCGGCCUGAGAGGGUGACCGGCCACAUUGGGACUGAGAGACGGCCCAGACUCCUACGGGAGGCAGCAGUGGGGAAUAUUGCACAAUGGGCGGAAGCCUGAUGCAGCAACGCCGCGUGCGGGAUGACGGCCUUCGGGUGGUAAACCGCUUUCGCCUGUGACGAAGCGUGAGUGACGGUAAUGGGUAAAGAAGCACCGGCUAACUACGUG
rnacentral:rRNA from 1 species